CCUACGGGUGGCUGCAGUGGGGGAUAUUGCACAAUGGGGGAAACCCUGAUGCAGCGACGCCGCGUGUGUGAAGACGGUCCUCUGGAUUGUAAACCACUGUCCCAAGGGACGAAGAUGACGGUACCUGGUGCGGAAGCUCCGGCUAACUACGUGCCAGCAGCCGCGGUAAUACGUAGGGAACGAGCGUUGUCCGGAAUUACUGGGUGUAAAGGGACCGUAGGCGGGGAUGCAAGUUGGGUGUAAAAACUACCGGCUCAACUGGUGGUAGCACUGGAAACUGUAGCUCUAGAGUGAAGGAGAGGCCGGCGGAAUUCCUAGUGUAGCGGUGAAAUGCGUAGAUAUUAGGAGGAACACCAGUGGCGAAGGCGGCCUGCUGGGCUUUUACUGACGCUGAGGCUCGAAAGUGUGGGGAGCAAACAGGAUUAGAUACCCCUGUAGUC
rnacentral:rRNA from 1 species